GCCUAUUUUAAUUAAUACAAAAUUGAGGUUACAUCUUUUCAAAUGUUCCUCAAUUAAUAUAUAGGAGAUAUAUUUUAAAUUUUUAAUAUUUGUGAAUUUUAAUUUGUCAAGACAACAUCAAAGUUUAAUUGGGCUAGAUGACCAACAAAAGAAGUUUAAGUGGGCUGUUUGGAAAAGAAAUUAACUGGGUUUAUAGCCUUGCGUGACAGGCUCAAAUGCAGGUUUAUUGUUUAUGAAAAAAAACAUGCAAUAUGUUAAAAAGGAUGAGAAGAUACAAGUAUGCAUGGUUACAUUAGUAAACUAUGAUGUUUAACUAUGAAUGAAAGUCUGUGUUACGAAAAGAUACAUUAGGCAUGUGGGGACAAUACUAAACCAUGAUGUUUAAUUAUGAAUGAAAGACUGUGUUACAAAAAAGAAGUAUGUUAUGCAUGUAGAAGAGAUGGUGACUGACAUAGUCUAAAGUCUAGAGUACACGCGGGGCAAGCCCGAUCACCACCUCGCGUGUACUCGAGACUAUCUCCUAACAUAAUUAAAAUGCAUUUUCAUGAAUAGUUCAUUUGUUGUAAUAUUGGAAUUAGUUCAUUUUAUUAUUAAGAAUGAACUAAUUUCAAUAUUACAAUAAAUGAACUAUUCAUAUAAAUGCAUUUUAAUUAUGGAGUUGAUAUUUUGUAUAACAAUGCUUUGUUUUUAAAUUCUUUUUACUAUUAUCUUAUAAGUUAGUCUUCAAUUUGUUUUAUAUACCGUUUUUGCAGUGGCACUAUCACCAGGAGCCUCCACCUCCCUUUGUCUUAUUUCAUUUCAACAACCAUCCAUUACUUUGAAAUAGUGAUCUUAUUCUCAACAUAUUUUUACACAAGAAGAUCUUAUAUAUAACACACACAUACAAAAAAAUGAAAUCCAAUCCAAUAUGAAUCCACUUUUAGGGAUAAAAACUACAUUUGAUCUCUCAUUUCUAUCUAGAAAGUUAAUUAUAAGAAUGCUAUUUUUGAUUGGUAACAACAUUUACUCCCAAAAAAACUAGUAACAACAAUAUCUAUCUAUUAUUAUAAAGAACUGUUUGCUCUCUCCUGGUGCCUCCACAUAGGAUUCCACAUCAGAAAGUCGUGCUCUGUAGUGACGACACAUGUCCAUUCAACCGAAACACACCGUUUCAUUUAAGUACUGAUACGAUUGAUGCGGGCUUUAAUAUGUUUUGCUUUUUCUUUUCUUAUUCUUGAUGGGUUUACUGGGCUAUUUUUGAUUAAUCAGAAUGUCAAGUGUCCAGCCCAACGUAUGUCUACAAACACGAAAGCUACUGCGAUCAACAAGAGCUUUCAGAUAUUUCCAGGAGGUAAAACACUGAAAACGUCUUCACAUAGAGCUUUACUGAGAUUCUUACAAACUGUAUUCCAGUUAGUGAUUCAGCUAAGAAAUUUGAUUCAAACUCACUCUUAGUGCUGCUAAUUUUUGAACAAUUAUGAGAAAGCUAUUACUGUUAAAGUGGAUGGACUUGUGGCUUUGACACUAAAUCAAGAUCAACAAGAAGCCUCUUCUAUAGUCUUUCCUAUUAUUUAAUGGUCUUUCCACUGUUCGUUUACUAUGAGAAUGAGAUGAUAUCAUAUGUCUAAUCAAUGGUUUAGUGAGUUUGUUUAUCUUUGUUGAUGUUUUCCACUCUCCAUGUUUGAUGUUUUCAGGCAGUGAAGAAAGGAGACGCUAUGUUUGUUGGGCAAUACCUAUUCACUGGUACUGAAACAACUUCAGUUUGGCUUGAGGUAAAAUAAAAUAGAAGCUUAUGAAUAGUGUCUAUGUUGAAGUCUUAGACAGUUAAAUUUAUAUUGUUAAAUAAAUAAAAAAGAGUCGAUAAGAUUUUUCAAAGAUGCUCUUCUUCCUCUGUUCUUCUCAUUCUUCUCUGGGUUUGUUUUCUUGAUUAUAAAUAAAUUAUUGCUUCUUCUUUUUAAUGGUCGAAGCAAUUCCAUGACCACAUCAAAUACAGUCAUGGAGAUGGAGGAUGAAGAAAUUUCCUAGAUCACAAAUCGUCCUGCUGUUCAUCUGGAGAUGGGAAAGAUCAUGAUUCGGGAGGGUGAUGAAGCUGCGGCUCAGGAGGAUGAGAGGGUUGGGAAGGAGCCUGAGGUAGAGAGGAAAAGGGAUGCGGAACCAGAGUUUGGAAAGCAGAAGGAGAAGAAGGAGGAGAAGCAUAAAGCUUUGAAGGAGAAAGAGAUGAUUAAUAGUGCUGCAUACAAGGAGAGAGAGAGAUACAGAAACAUGAAGAGGUGAAGUGUUUAAAGAGGGAGGCUGGUGAGGCAGAGAGGAAGCGUGUAGAAGAAUAAGAAUAAGAGGCCCGAGAGAGCGCAGAGUGUCAGGCUGCAGAGAGAAAAGCUGCUCGACUGAGAAUGAGCCAAGAGAGAGCACUCCCUCUUGGCGGAACUGAGAAAGGACCUUAUGCUACACAUGCUACAAGAGUCAGCAUAAGUUAUUUGAUACUUUCUCGAUGUUAGAUGAAGUCUUUGAUAAGUUCUUUGAAUCAGCAUAAACAUAUAUGCAUUACAUUUUUAUAUAGAUGAAUUAGAAAACAUGUUUUAUUAAUGUGUCUCAAAGGUGAAAAUAUAAUGAACAGGUUUUGAAACUGUUAAAUA